CUACGGAGGGGACAAGCGUUAUUCGGAAUCACUGGGCGUAAAGGACGCGUAGGCGGGUUAUUAAGUCGGGUGUGAAAUCCAAUGGCUCAACCAUUGAACUGCAUUCGAAACUGAUAACCUAGAGUAUGGAAGGGGCAGGUGGAAUUAGUGGUGUAGGGGUAAAAUCCGUAGAUAUCACUAGGAAUACCGAAAGCGAAGGCGACCUGCUGGGACAUUACUGACGCUGAGGCGUGAAAGCGUGGGGAGCAAACAGGAUUAGAUACCCUGGUAGUCC
rnacentral:rRNA from 1 species